AUUGAACGCUGGCGGCAUGCUUUACACAUGCGAGUCGAACGGUAACAGGCCGCAAGGUGCUGACGAGUGGCGAACGGGUGAGUAAUGCAUCGGAACGUGCCCAGUCGUGGGGGAUAACUACUCGAAAGAGUAGCUAAUACUGCAUACGAUCUAUGGAUGAAAGCGGGGGACCGUAAGGCCUCGCGCGAUUGGAGCGGCCGAUGUCAGAUUAGGUAGUUGGUGGGGUAAAGGCUCACCAAGCCAACGAUCUGUAGCUGGUCUGAGAGGACGACCAGCCACACUGGGACUGAGACACGGCCCAGACUCCUACGGGAGGCAGCAGUGGGGAAUUUUGGACAAUGGGCGCAAGCCUGAUCCAGCAAUGCCGCGUGCAGGAAGAAGGCCUUCGGGUUGUAAACUGCUUUUGUACGGAACGAAACGGCUCUGGUUAAUACCCGGGGCUAAUGACGGUACCGUAAGAAUAAGCACCGGCUAACUACGUG
rnacentral:rRNA from 1 species